UACGAAGGGGGCUAGCGUUGCUCGGAAUCACUGGGCGUAAAGCGCACGUAGGCGGAUUGUUAAGUCAGGGGUGAAAUCCUGGAGCUCAACUCCAGAACUGCCUUUGAUACUGGCGAUCUUGAGUCCGGGAGAGGUGAGUGGAACUGCGAGUGUAGAGGUGAAAUUCGUAGAUAUUCGCAAGAACACCAGUGGCGAAGGCGGACUC
rnacentral:rRNA from 1 species